AUUGAACGCUGGCGGAAUGCUUUACACAUGCAAGUCGAGCGGCAGCGCGGGGCAACCUGGCGGCGAGCGGCGAACGGGUGAGUAAUACAUCGGAACGUGCCCAGACGUGGGGGAUAACUACUCGAAAGAGUGGCUAAUACCGCAUACGAUCUACGGAUGAAAGCGGGGGAUCGCAAGACCUCGCGCGUCUGGAGCGGCUGAUGGCAGAUUAGGUAGUUGGUGGGAUAAAAGCCUACCAAACCAACGAUCUGUAGCUGGUCUGAGAGGAUGAUCAGCCACACUGGGACUGAGACACGGCCCAGACUCCUACGGGAGGCAGCAGUGGGGAAUUUUGGACAAUGGGCGAAAGCCUGAUCCAGCCAUUCCGCGUGCAGGAUGAAGGCCCUCGGGUUGUAAACUGCUUUGUACUAGAACGAAAAGCUCUGGCUAAUACCUGGAGUCCAUGACGGUACUGUAAG
rnacentral:rRNA from 1 species